AAGCCUUAACUGCUGAAGGAAAAAGAGGAAUUUUGGCCGGUACUCACUGUAAAUUGCUUUGUUUUGUUUCUGUAGGCAAACCAGAGAGGAGGAGUCUGAAGAGGUGACAUUCUGUCCUGUGUGCUUUGAACGUGGUGACUGAAGAAAACAAAGUCCUUCAGGUGACACAUCUUAAAAAGUUGGAGAGAUGGGAGCUGCGCUGUGUGUCUGGAAGGCCGUGUGAUGCUGAGCAGCCGCUGGGAAUUGCCCUUUUCCCGUCGCUGAGGUCGGGUUUGUGCUGAGUGCCCUCUGGAGGUCUUGGACACGCAGUGACCCGAGCGAGUCCCGGCUACGCCGCUGUGCCCGAGCUCUUCAGGAUUCCUCGCUUCAAAGCAAAUGAUUUUUUUGCUGUGAGAUUCUGCGGGAACCUACAGGGAACAGGCUGUGAAGUAUUUGCUGUCUGGACUGAAUUCUGUGUUCACCCAGUCGAGGAGUAGGAGCAUAUUCCAGAUGGAAGGGGACUGAUCUGCUGAACUUCCAUGGUGACAUCCACACCGAGGAGUGGGAAGCAUGCUUAUGUUACUGUUUGACUUCAUGCACAUUAACCAAAUAAAAACAAAAAGCAGUGAAAGGAGGGCAAAAUAGAAACUGAAUUCACUUAAAUCAAUGAUAAACAUGCUGUUGUAUUAAAGCCUGG